rnacentral:rRNA from 1 species
UACGGAGGGUGCAAGCGUUGUCCGGAUUUAUUGGGUUUAAAGGGUGCGUAGGCGGCCCCUUAAGUCAGUGGUGAAAGCCCGCGGCUCAACCGCGGAAGUGCCAUUGAUACUGGGGGGCUUGAGUACAGACGAGGUAGGCGGAAUUGAUGAUGUAGCGGUGAAAUGCUUAGAUAUCAUCAAGAACACCGAUUGCGAAGGCAGCUUACUAGGCUUUAACUGACGCUGAGGCACGAAAGCGUGGGGAGCAAAC